UGGGGAAUCUUGCGCAAUGGCCGCAAGGCUGACGCAGCGACGCCGCGUGGGGGAGGAAGGGCUUCGGCUCGUAAACCCCUGUUGCCCGGGGCGAACAUCCCUUUUCGAGGGGACUGACGGUACCGGGUGAGGAAGCACCGGCUAACUCCGUGCCAGCAGCCGCGGUAAUACGGAGGGUGCGAGCGUUGUCCGGAAUCACUGGGCGUAAAGGGCGCGUAGGUGGCCGAGCAAGGUCGCGGUGAAAGCCCGGGGCUCAACCCCGGGUCGGCCGUGGCAACUACUUGGCUUGAGCACUGUAGGGGCGGGUGGAAUUCCGGGUGUAGCGGUGGAAUGCGUAGAGAUCCGGAAGAACACCGGUGGCGAAGGCGGCCCGCUGGGCAGGAAGACGGAGCAAUCCGUCGGCUGACACUGAGGCGCGACAGCGUGGGGAGCAAACAGGAUUAGAUACCCUGGUAGUCCACGCCGUAAACGAUGGGCACUAGGUGCCUGGGGGAGCGACCCUCCGGGUGCCGGCGCUAACGCAUUAAGUGCCCCGCCUGGGGAGUACGGCCGCAAGGCUGA
rnacentral:rRNA from 1 species